GCCCGAGUGGCGGAAUCUGGCCAGACGCGUCGGCCCUAGGAGCCGAUGGGGUAGUCACUCCCCGUGUGGGUUCGAAUCCCACCUCGGGUA
rnacentral:tRNA from 1 species